GUGCUCUCUUUGGCAGCACAUAUACUAAAAUUGGAAUGAUACAGAGAAGACUCGUAUGGCCCCACACAGGGAUGACACGCAAAUUCAUGAAGUGUUAUUCCUCAAA